GAACGCUGAAGCCCUGGUGCUUGCACCGGGGUGGAUGAGUGGCGAACGGGUGAGUAACACGUGAGUAACCUGCCCCCGACUUCGGGAUAAGCCCGGGAAACUGGGUCUAAUACCGGAUAUGACGACCGAAUGCAUCUUUGGUUGUGGAAAGUUUUUUCGGUUGGGGAUGGGCUCGCGGCCUAUCAGUUUGUUGGUGAGGUAAUGGCUCACCAAGACGACGACGGGUAGCCGGCCUGAGAGGGCGACCGGCCACACUGGGACUGAGACACGGCCCAGACUCCUACGGGAGGCAGCAGUGGGGAAUAUUGCACAAUGGGGGAAACCCUGAUGCAGCGACGCAGCGUGCGGGAUGACGGCCUUCGGGUUGUAAACCGCUUUCAGCAGGGAAGAAGCCCUUCGGGGUGACGGUACCUGCAGAAGAAGUACCGGCUAACUACGUGCCAGCAGCCGCGGUAAUACGUAGGGUACAAGCGUUGUCCGGAAUUAUUGGGCGUAAAGAGCUCGUAGGUGGUUGGUCACGUCUGCUGUGGAAACGCAACGCUUAACGUUGCGCGUGCAGUGGGUACGGGCUGACUAGAGUGCAGUAGGGGAGUCUGGAAUUCCUGGUGUAGCGGUGAAAUGCGCAGAUAUCAGGAGGAA
rnacentral:rRNA from 1 species